rnacentral:tRNA from 1 species
GCAGUGGUGGUUUAGUGGUAGAAUUCUUGCCUUCUGUACAUGAGCCCCGGGUUCGAUUCCUGGCCAAAUGUA